rnacentral:lncRNA from 1 species
UGCUAAGGACUGAGAAGAGCAACUGUCCAGUGGUGACAGCGAUUUCCACAGCAUCAGCUCAGCUUCACAGGGGUCACGGGGGUUAACACGAUUUCUCUUUUUUUCAUAUACUUAUUAGGAUCAGAGAUUCCAAACAUGUAAGUUGCAGACUCCUGAGAGCACGCCUGGUUAGGCCAGCAGAUGCCUGCAGCCAAGUCACGUCUAGCCAGCUCGUUUCUGGAUGAAAAACUUGAAGAGUCUCCUGGUGUUAAAUCUCUUGCCAGAAAUUUCACAAGAUCAAGACAGACGUGUUCAGACUUCAGUCCUGGAUGUACACAUCAGCAGAAAGAGACAAGUGGACUCCAGCUUCUGUUCUGAGCACCUGGAGGAAUGGCCCUGGCUGCAGCUGAAACAGGGAAGGCUGACGGAUGAACAGGCUGGCGGGAAAAUAUGGAGACACCUCAAGGAACUAGGACUGGAAGUCCCAGUUGACCCCCCUAUU